AUGGAUAUGACUCUGUCUUUAAGAAGACAGGAAGUUGUGAUCAACAAGCCUCCUGUAGGCCAGAUACUUCAGCGUUGGCCAGCACUUUUUAGAGAAAGUCAGGUGUAUCAAGAAUUCAACCAGAUAGUUGGGAAGAAUCUUAAGCAAGAAUUCUAUGGGUCACUUGAUCGUCACUGUCCACAGCUGAUUCAGAUUUUCAGGUCUCGCCGGACAGAUUUUAAGCAAUCUUCUGCAAGAUGCCAAGACCUCUGACCUCACUGACAUGCGAUGUGUUGCCAUUCGAGGGCUUCCAGUACUUCUUGGUGAUGACCCAACCGAGUUCUUCAGAGCAUGUUUUGCUUCUGAUGAUGGAGACUCAUACCAACAUGUGCCAGUUGGAAUCCUUAACUGAGAAAAUGAAGAUGUGGCUCUGCAACCCCUGUCCUUCCGCCUCCACCCAUCCUCAGUCGGAAUCAUCUUGGAGGGAAUGUUGUAAUGGACAAUAUUGACAACAUACCCCAGGCCAUGUGUCUUCUUUUUGGUUUAACCUAUGCGCUGCACCUAGACUACCCAAAGUGCAUGGGCAAUACCUUUCUUUUCAUUCAACAAGUUCUGCUGGGUUUGGGUAAGGAGUUGAAGGGUAAGAUUCUGGCUGUUAAAAAUCAGCUUGCCAUGUAAACAGGUACAGUAAAUGCAUGUUUCUUCAGGCUUGCUGUCGUAACUGUUAGAUUAAAAAUUAUACCAGAUGUUGUUAAAACUAUGCCUUAGUGUUUGGCAAAAUAUUCAUGUUCCAUAGUGAUACAGUAUAAUAACAUUGUGGUUGUUUGAUAUUUGAAAAGGUUUGUAAACACUGUUUAAAACAUUACAAAUAAUUGUUAAUUAUUAAUUGUUAUAAAUUGUUAUAAAUUGCGUUGAGUAAUUGUUAUAC